UACAGAGGUCUCGAGCGUUGUUCGGAUUCAUUGGGCGUAAAGGGCGCGUAGGCGGCGGGGUAAGUCUGGUGUGAAAUCUCGGAGCUCAACUCCGAAAUUGCACUGGAUACUGCUCUGCUAGAGGGCUGGAGAGGAGAUCGGAAUUCACGGUGUAGCAGUGAAAUGCGUAGAUAUCGUGAGGAAGAACACCCGUGGCGAAGGCGGCUCUCUGGAACGCAACUGACGCUGAGACGCGAAAGCGUGGGGAGCAAACAGG
rnacentral:rRNA from 1 species